rnacentral:rRNA from 6 species
GGGUUGUGAGGUUAAGCGACUAAGCGUACACGGUGGAUGCCCUGGCAGUCAGAGGCGAUGAAGGGCGUGCUAAUCUGCGAUAAGCGCCGGUAAGGUGAUAUGAACCGUUAUAACCGGCGAUACCCGAAUGGGGAAACCCAGUGUGUUUCGACACACUAUCAUUAACUGAAUCCAUAGGUUAAUGAGGCGAACCGGGGGAACUGAAACAUCUAAGUACCCCGAGGAAAAGAAAUCAACCGAGAUUCCCCCAGUAGCGGCGAGCGAACGGGGAGGAGCCCAGAGCCUGAAUCAGCAUGUGUGUUAGUGGAAGCGUCUGGAAAGGCGCGCGAUACAGGGUGACAGCCCCGUACACAAAAGCGCAUGUGCUGUGAGCUCGAUGAGUAGGGCGGGACACGUGGUAUCCUGUCUGAAUAUGGGGGGACCAUCCUCCAAGGCUAAAUACUCCUGACUGACCGAUAGUGAACCAGUACCGUGAGGGAAAGGCGAAAAGAACCCCGGCGAGGGGAGUGAAAAAGAACCUGAAACCGU